AUUCACAAGCAGAAUCACUGGGCUGUCUGCAGAGCCCAUAUAUGCUACUACAAAGUUUCAGCAUGCAACAGUCCUAAAAACAUAAUGUCCACAGGGAGUGAACACUGCAUUUCGACUGUAUACAGCCUGACUAGGACCACAGACUUCAAAUAAGAUCUCUUCAGUGAUGCCCCUUCUCGCUGUCUCCCUCCUCCAAAAAGAGAAGAGAAAUAUUCCACAUCUCAAGCCUAUCUCAGAAGUACAAUACACUCCAUUGCAUGAACUCUGCAUCACUACUGGGCACAGGCUACUCAGGGAUUCAGUGACUGGAACUGAUGGUCUUCUCAUUCUCAUUCCUCCUAGAAUCCAGAUGCAGGACAGAAUUAAGAAGAAACUACAGCAAUUACCUGGCUCCUUUCUCAGUACAGACUUGUAGGGACACAACCUAUUUUCAUCACCCUCUCGUUAGAAUUUUCACCCACUCCUUAAGUGCAGCUAACACAUUACCUAGUGGUACAAUUAACCACAGGAAAGUGCUGAAUUUGCAUUUAAAACAAGGUUAUUUGACUUUGCUAAAAGCUGAGCUGUGACUGACAUGUUAUUUUUAUUGUGACAGAACUUAUUCAAACCAUCUAAAAUAUCACUUAAAAAUAAAGAUUUGAACAACUCUUCUACAAUCCCCUUACCAAUUCAUAAUUAAAACCACAGAGCAUACUAGCUGUAAUCCAGUUAUGCUCCCCACCGCAUUCCUGCAUGUGAAAUAAACAGAUUACUUAAUGUUUUUAGUGAUUCCAGUUUCUUCUGCCCCAAAGCAAAAUACUGUAAUUCCCUUUUCCCUUUCCUACCAGUGCAGAAUUGUAUGUGAUGCCUCUCAUUUUCCAUAAGAUUUUAUGUGCAGAAAACUAACUAAACUAUACAGAAUUGUAAUCUCUCUUCAUUAGCAGGAAGUAAAAGAACAUAUCCAUGGAUCUCUUGCUCUUCUCACAAAUGCAGAGUGCAUAUUAGGGGCAAAUAAUGAAAUAAUUAAGUACACAGUCACUAAGUUUAUAUGCUAGUUUUGCAGCCAUUCUUUCUCUAUGAAUAUUCUAUUUCCAAUAGAGAAGCUCUGAAUCUUUUCUGUCAGUGGCAGAACCAUGUUUUGUGUGGGCAAAACAUUCAUGUUCUUUUAUGUCUUCUUGUAAAGACACACAUGGUGCAAUAUUCUUUUCAUAGAAACAGAGCUUUUUUCCACCCUUAGACCAUAAAGAAAUGAAAAAUGGCAGCACCUAGAUGCUGUGAGUUUUCCACGAAGGUUUAAGCUGUCACCUACCACCAAGUCUUAUAUUUGUCUGGUGCUAAAGAAACAGUAUAAUUUGCUGUCAUAAUCUUAAAAAGUGAAUAUUAUAGAAAUUAAAACAGAGUUGCU
rnacentral:lncRNA from 1 species